UUUGAUUUGUGGCGACGGGUGAGUACACGUAAGCAACCUGCCCUUAAGACGAGAAUAACAAUUGGAAACAGUUGCUAAGGCUGGAUAGGAAAUAAAAAGGCAUCUUUUUAUUUUUAAAAGACCUUUUUCGGAAGGUAUGCUUAAAGAGGGGCUUGCGUCACAUUAGUUAGUUGGUAGGGUAAAGGCCUGCCAAGACGAUGAUGUGUAGCUGGACUGAGAGGUUGAACGGCCACAUUGGGACUGAGACGCGGCCCAAACUCCUACGGGAGGCAGCAGUAGGGAAUUUUCGGCAAUGGAGGAAACCCUGACCGAGCGACGCCGCGUGAACGACGAAGUACUUCGGUAUGUAAAGUUCUUUUAUUGAAGAAGAGACAAUAGUGGAAAAACUAUCUUGACGUUAUUCAAUGAAUAAGCCCCGGCUAACUAUGUGCCAGCAGCCGCGGUAAUACAUAGGGGGCGAGCGUUAUCCGGAAUUAUUGGGCGUAAAGGGUGCGUAGGCGGUUUAAUAAGUCUCUAGUUUAAUUUCAACGCUUAACGUUGUCCUGCUAGAGAAACUGUUUAACUAGAGUGAGAUAGAGGUAAGCGGAAUUCCAUGUGUAGCGGUAAAAUGUGUAAAUAUAUGGAGGAACACCAGAGGCGUAGGCGGCUUACUGGGUCUUUACUGACGCUGAUGCACGAAAGCGUGGGGAGCAAACAGGAUUAGAUACCCUGGUAGUCCACGCCGUAAACUAUGAGUACUAAGUGUCGGGGUUAAACUCGGUACUGAAGUUAACACAUUAAGUACUCCGCCUGAGUAGUACGUACGCAAGUAUGAAACUUAAAGGAAUUGACGGGAUCCCGCACAAGCGGUGGNAUCAUGUUGUUUAAUUCGAAGAUACACGAAAAACCAUACCAGGUCUUGACAUACUCUGCAAAGCUAUAGAAAUAUAGUGGAGGUUAUCAGGGAUACAGGUGGUGCAUGGUUGUCGUCAGCUCGUGUCGUGAGAUGUUAGGAUAAGUUCUAAAACGAGCGCAACCCCUGUCGUUAAUUGCCAGCACGUUAUGGUGGGGACUUUAGCGAGACUGCCAAUGAAAAAUUGGAGGAAGGUGGGGAUUACGUCAAAUCAUCAUGCCCCUUAUGAUCUGGGCUGCAAACGUGAUACAAUGGCUAUUACAAAGAGUAGCUGGAACGCGAGUUUUUGGCAAAUCUCAAAAAAAUAGUCUCAGUUCGGAUUGAAGUCUACAACUCGACUUCAUGAAGUUGGAAUCGCUAGUAAUCGCGAAUCAGCAUGUCGCGGUGAAUACGUUCUCGGGGUUUGUACACACCGCCCGUCAAACCACGAAAGNGACA
rnacentral:rRNA from 1 species